rnacentral:rRNA from 1 species
UACGUAGGGGGCGAGCGUUGUCCGGAGUUACUGGGCGUAAAGGCCCGCAGGCGGUGCGGCGCGUUUCGCGUGACAGCGGAGGGCUUAACUCUCCGAGGAUGCGAAAGACGGCGGCACUUGAGGGCCAGAGAGGGACACGGAAUUCCGGGUGGAGUGGUGAAAUGCGUAGAGAUCCGGAGGAACACCGAAGGCGAAGGCAGUGUCCUGGCUGGUGACUGACGCUGAGGUGCGAAAGCUAGGGGAGCGAACGGG